rnacentral:rRNA from 1 species
CCUACUGGUGACAUCAUUAGGGCAUCUUGCUCAAUGGGGGAAACCCUGAAGCAGCAACGCCGCGUGGAGUCUUCCUUUUUUCUUCUUUUCCCCUCCUUUUUUUCUCUCCUCUCCUUCCUUUCUCUCCCUAAUAAGCACCUUCUAACUCCGUGCCAGCAGCCGCGGUAAUACGGAGUGUUCCACCUUUACUCGGAAUCACUUUUCGUAAAGAGGGCGCAGGCGGGCUUGUAAGUCAGAUGUGAACUCCUGUAGCUUAACUACAGAACUUCAUGGGAAACUAUGAGUCUAGAGUGUGGGAGAGGUAGGUGGAAUUCUUGGUGGAGGGGUAAAAGCCGUAGAGAUCAAGAGGAAUACUCAUUGAGAAGGCGACCUAAUGGAAAAUUAAUGACGCUCAUGCACGAAAGAGUGGGGAGAAAACAGGAUGAGAGAAAAAGGGAGUC